rnacentral:rRNA from 1 species
UACGGAGGGAGCUAGCGUUGUUCGGAAUUACUGGGCGUAAAGCGCGCGUAGGCGGCUUUGUACGUUAGAGGUGAAAGCCCGGGGCUCAACCCCGGAAUUGCCUUUAAGACUGCAUCGCUUGAAUCCGGGAGAGGUGAGUGGAAUUCCGAGUGUAGAGGUGAAAUUCGUAGAUAUUCGGAAGAACACCAGUGGCGAAGGCGGCUCACUGGACCGGCAUUGACGCUGAGGUGCAAAAGCGUGGGGAGCAAACAGG